GCCGAAGUGGCGAAAUGGCAGACGCGCUAGACUCAAAAUCUGGUUCCCUCCGGGAGUGUGGGUUCAAGUCCCACCUUCGGUACCA
rnacentral:tRNA from 1 species